rnacentral:lncRNA from 1 species
UUCCUCUAAAAUUUGCACAGUUAGCAACUGAUUUAGGUGAUACCCCACCAGUAUUAUGCUCUACAUACGUUUAUUGCGGUACGAAACGUAAAAGAUCUACAAGUGACGAUUGUAUGGUUAGGUCAACUCCAUCGCCUAAGAGAUCAAGUAGUAGUCUCAGUGAUAUUUCCAGUUUUGAAAUUAAUUUGCCCACAAAACUUGAAACUGAAUUGACGGAGAAGGUAAAAAAAUUGGAGUAUCAAGUAAAUGCUUUAAAGAAGAAGUGCCGUCAGAAGAACAGCCAGCGUUGUAGAAGAACAACAAA